GACGAACGCUGGCGGCGUGCUUAACACAUGCAAGUCGAACGGUGAUGGGGGCUUGCACCUUGAGCAGUGGCGAACGGGUGAGUAACACGUGAGCAACCUGCCCCCGACUCUGGGAUAACCCCGGGAAACCGGAGCAAAUACCGGAUAUGAGGCGUCUGGGCAUCUGGGCGUCUGGAAAGAAUUUCGGUCGUUGAUGGGCUCGCGGCCUAUCAGCUAGUUGGUGGGGUAAUGGCCUACCAAGGCGACGACGGGAACCCGGCCUGAGAGGGCGACCGUCAACACAGAGACUGAGACACGGCCCAGACUCCUACGGGAGGCAGCAGUGAGGAAUAUUGCACAAUGGACGCAAGCCUGAUGCAGCGACGCCGCGUGAGGGAUGAAGGCCUUCGGAUUGUAAACCUCUUUCAGCAGGGAAGAAGCGCAAGUGACGGUACCUGCAGAAGAAGCGCCGGCGAACUACGUGCCAGCAGCCGCAGUAAAAC
rnacentral:rRNA from 1 species